rnacentral:rRNA from 1 species
UAGUCCACGCCGUAAACGAUGAAUGCUAGGUGUUGGGGGUAUUCACCCCCUCAGUGCCGCAGUUAACGCAUUAAGCAUUCCGCCUGGGGAGUACGGUCGCAAGAUUAAAAACUCAAAAGGAAUUGACGGGGGCCCGCACAAGCGGUGGAGUAUGUGGUUUAAUUCGACGCAACGCGCAGAACCUUACCCAGCCUUGACAUCCUGAGAAUCUCUGUGAAAGCGGGGAGUGCCACCUCACGGUGGAGCUCAGUGACAGGUGCUGCAUGGCUGUCGUCAGCUCGUGUCGUGAGAUGUUCGGUUAAGUCCGGCAACGAGCGCAACCCCUGUCGUUAGUUGCCAGCAUUCAGUUGGGCACUCUAGCGAGACUCCCGGUGUUAAACCGGCGGAAGAUGGGGAUGACGUCAAGUACCUCAUGGCCCUUAUGGCUGGGGCUACACACGUACUACAAUGGCAUCUACAGAGGGCUGCGAACUCGCGAGAGUAAGCCAAUCCCAAAAAG